rnacentral:rRNA from 1 species
UACGUAGGUGGCAAGCGUUUGUCCGGAAUUAUUGGGCGUAAAGCGCGCGCAGGCGGUCCUUUAAGUCUGAUGUGAAAGCCCACGGCUCAACCGUGGAGGGUCAUUGGAAACUGGGGGACUUGAGUGCAGAAGAGGAGAGUGGAAUUCCACGUGGUAGCGGUGAAAUGCGUAGAGAUGUGGAGGAACACCAGUGGCGAAGGCGACUCUCUGGUCUGUAACUGACGCUGAGGCGCGAAAGCGUGGGGAGCGAACAGG